GACCUAUCUCCUCCAGCUCAGCCACCACUGUCUGUUAGGAAAGAAACCAUGCAGGAGAAAGUGUUCAAGAAGACAAAGAUGACAUGGAAAGUGGAUUUAGAUUUCAGCAUGGAAAGGCUGAGGCCUAAGGGGAUGGACUAUGAAUGAGAACAAAUCAUCAGCAUUUAUGAUCGGCAGGAGAGAUGCUUUUCCAAUGGAAUUCUCUGACUGAAAGACAGGUUGAUACUGAUGUCAGAAUUGAGAGAGACCUAGCACAGAGCAUAAAAAUUCUAUACCACACAUCUCUUACGUUUUAUCGUCUUUUGUUAUGAUUGAAUCUAAUGGCACUGCUUCUUAAGCAUUAUGUGAAGUAUGGUUUAUUCUACACUGAAAUGUUACAAUUGAAAGUUAUCUAAACACUUUGUUUAGAAUUUCUACAUAAGUUUAUACAUUUUACUUUUCUCAUAUUAUUUUCUCAUUUGCAGUAAAAAGGUCAGUAGCCUACAGAGUGGCAUGAGAAAAGUGCCAUCCUCCUGCAUCUCACAUUUGCAUGUAGUUAUUUUGCCUGCUGGACCCAUGGGUUAAGGGAAAUUCUGGCAUAUCCAGGAUGGAGUGUCACCCCUUCUGCCACCUAACUGAACCUGUCUCUAACUGGUAAUACAUCACCCACUGGAGACUUGAAGACAGAACAUCACUCAACCGUGCGUGUCAGUGUGUGGUUAGACACCCACAUCCUUAGAUUUGUCCAAAUAAACAAGUCAUGGCCGCUAGCAGUUGUUAAUGAGCAAUGAUGAAAAACAAGGCCAAAUCAAGAAGUGGAGUUGCCCUUCAAUGUAGUUAAGAAGGAUUUUGGACUUGAAACCCAGUGAGAUUCUGGUGCGAAGAAGAAAAAGCUGAAGUCAAUAUUUAUUAAUAAAAAAAUGUAUUUAAGCUUUAUUUAACUAGGCAGGUGUCACGCCCUGACCAUAGAGAGCCCUUGGUUCUCUAUGGUAUAGUAGGUCAGGGCGUGACUAGGGGGUGAUCUAGUAUAUAUAUCUCUGUUGGUGCUAUGUGGUUCCCAAUUAGAGGCAGCUGUUUAUCAUUGCCUCUGAUUGAGGAUCAUAUUUAAGUAUAUAUUUCUCCCACCUGUGUUUGUGGGAUAUUAUUUUGUGUUUGUGCAUGUGCACCACAUAGUCAUGUUUUGGUGUUCGUUUUUGUUUCGCUUAAUUUUCACUUUAUAAUAAAGAUGUGGAACUCCAUGAA